AAGAAAAUGCUAAUUAUUGCGUACAGUAUUUGAAUAAUUAUUGUAACAAAAUGUAUAAAACCUGUUUCUAAAUUCUCAAUAAUUUACAAUUCUUCGUAAUGAAUUCCUACCAAGAAAUAAGAUUUUUAAAGAAAAAACAAGACAUUUUAUACCGAUAUAAAGAAAAAAAUAGCAAUUUAAUUCGUUUUUAUAUCUUAAUAUGCCACGUACAAAUUCAAAUAUACAUAAUGAAAAUCAAAUGGAUAAUGAAACGUUACUUGAAAAGAAAUGGAUUUGAUCAAAUAAAUUCAUCUCGAAAGCAAGAAUGUGAUAAUAAUAAAUCAUCUCGGACAAAGAUUAUGUCGAGAAUGAACAAUACAAAUUCUCAUAUACAGACGUUAAUUCUUAUGCAAUCUGAACGACAGCAGUUUCAAGCAGAAUAUUGGAUGGUUUUAAAUUUAUGUGGACAAUCGACACCUUUGAGUUUCCAAGAUUUAUUACCCGGAAAAAGUCUUGGAGAAUGGAGGAAAAUAGCAGGUGGAGCUUAUGGAGAUGUUUUCGGAUUAUACAAUGAAAACAGACCUAUUAAAGUCUUAAAAAUUGUUCCUGUUAAUGGAAAUAAUGAUUACUUUGGCCAAAGACAAGAAACACUAACAAAUGUACAUCCGGAAAUAGUGGCUUCGUUAAAUUUAUGCAGUUUGUCAAAAAACGAAACAAACAGAACUUCCGGUUUUGCGCAAGUCAAAAGUGUAUAUUUUAUUCGAGGAAAAUUUCCGGAUGAACUCCGCAAAGCUUAUAAAAACUUUCACUUGGGUAGAAAAAUGCCGGAUUUUUAUUCAGCGCAAGUGUCGCAUAGACAAUUAUAUAUCGUUUAUGACAUGGAAUACGGAGGAUAUCCUUUAUUAAAAUCGCUCCAAAUAAGGCCUUGUCAAGCCGUCAGUAUUUUUCGUCAAGUGGCAUUUAGUUUGGCUGUUGCAGAAACAGAAUUAGAAUUCGAACACCGAGAUUUACACCUUUGUAAUAUUUUAAUCAAGCCAACACGUGCGAAAUCUUUAACAUAUUUUAUUUCUGGAAAGAAUUUUGAAAUACCGACUGUUGGCAUAUUGGCUACGAUAAUCGAUUUUACAUUCAGUCGAUUAAAGAAAGGAGAAGUUAUAUUAUUUAGAAAUCUGAAUGAAUUUAAAUUCAAAGGGGAAACUUUACAACACAAAAUAUACAGAGCUUCUAAGAAAAUAAUAAAGUAUUCGGUAUUCGGCCGAAUAGCGAAAAAUAGGCCGAAUACCGAACAGUAACCGAACUACACCGAGUUACAUCACUACAAAUAAUGAUAUAUGUAAAAAUUUUGAGGUCUAAUCUGCAGUUUGCAAAUUUGGUCUUGCUGAGAAACACAUUUUAAAGCAUAUUUACCAAUAAUAAAUGGGAAGAAUACAAUCCUUAUACCAAUAUUUUAUGGCUGUACUUUCUGAUUUCCAAUAUGAUAAACCAUUUAAAGG
rnacentral:misc_RNA from 1 species